rnacentral:rRNA from 1 species
UACGUAGGGUGCGAGCGUUGUCCGGAAUUAUUGGGCGUAAAGGGCUCGUAGGCGGUUUGUCGCGUCGGGAGUGAAAACGCCGUGCUUAACACGGCGCUUGCUUUCGAUACGGGCAGACUAGAGGUAUGCAGGGGAGAACGGAAUUCCUGGUGUAGCGGUGAAAUGCGCAGAUAUCAGGAGGAACACCGGUGGCGAAGGCGGUUCUCUGGGCAUUACCUGACGCUGAGGAGCGAAAGCGUGGGGAGCGAACAGG